GACGAACGCUGGCGGCGUGCUUAACACAUGCAAGUCGAGCGGUGAACCACUUCGGUGGGGAUCAGCGGCGAACGGGUGAGUAACACGUGGGCAACCUGCCCCUAGCACUGGGAUAACCCCGGGAAACCGGGGCGUAAUACCGGAUAUGACUUCGAGCGGCAUCACUCGAAGUGGAAAGAUUUAUCAGCUAGGGAUGGGCCCGCGGCCUAUCAGCUUGUUGGUGGGGUAAUGGCCUACCAAGGCGACGACGGGUGGCCGGCCUGAGAGGGCGACCGGCCACACUGGGGACUGAGACACGGCCCAGACCCCUACGGGAGGCAGCAGUGGGGAAUAUUGCGCAAUGGGCGAAAGCCUGACGCAGCGACGCCGCGUGAGGGACGAA
rnacentral:rRNA from 1 species